GCCUCGGUGGUGUAGUGGUUAGAGCACGAGUCCUUGGAUAGGAUCAAAAGCGGUUUCGAUUCCCGCUUGAGGCC